CUACCUGGGCACACCCUCUCACUGGGGAGGGUAAAUAAAUGGCAUUUCUGUGUGUAUUUUCAGCUCUCAUUCCUCACAUUCAAACUCCACCCAUUGUACCAAUCAUCCCCAAAACUAUCAGCAGGUCUCCUGGCACACAUAUAAAACCGGGACAGGUCAGGACAGCUCUCACAUAGUGGGCUAUACAUUGCCUGGUGCUUAAUUUUAUUGAAGCUGAGGAGCUCUAACAGGUGUCAGAAGCCACGAUGUCGGGUAAAAGUCUCCAGGGACUGAAGGAACAGGCUGGAGGUGCAGCAAAAGAUGCUGCAAACACGUUGGGACAGGCUACUCAGGAUGCAGUCAACCAAAUUACAGAUGCAAGCCAGAAAGCUAUUGACAAGGCUUCCAAGACGGCGCAAGAUGGGGUAGAGAAAGCAACCGGACAAGCUGCAGAAGCAUUGUCUGGCCUUGGGAAAAAAUGUGGAUUUAAGAAAUGAUGCUAAUUUAGGCAAGCAGUAUUGCAUAUAAAAAAAUAUCUCUUUGGUCUGCAAUUCCCUACUGCUUUGUGUGGAAAAAAAAAAAAGCUAUUUAAGAUCCGGAUAAUUUCUCUGUCUCCAAAUACAAAAUUUUAAGGCAGAAGACACCCUUCCCCCAUCCUUCAUAUAGGAAAAAUACAUCUUUUAGCACAUCUUGUAACAUCUGUUACAUGGCUCAUAAGGCUUCAGCAAUGCUAUUGCCCUGCUCUUACAACAGUGCUAUGAUUAUUGCCACAUUUGCUGAGUAUGUUUCCAAAGCCAGCGAAGCAGUUCAUGCUCCAGGACACCAGAAUGUUCGUGUGAUGAAACCAACUUUCCUUCCAGUAAUCAGAAGCUAAGCUGGGGUUAUAUUUCAUGUCAGCUGUUCGUUUGUUCCCAUUUGCUGUAUUUUCAGAUUAAGAUAAAUAAAAGGUAUUGUAGG
rnacentral:lncRNA from 1 species